AGAGUUUGAUCCUGGCUCAGGACGAACGCUGGCGGCAUGCCUAACACAUGCAAGUCGAACGAGAAAGUCACUUCGGUGGUGAUUAAAGUGGCGCACGGGUGAGUAACGCGUAGACAAUCUGCCCUUCAGUCUGGGACAACUUUUCGAAAGGAGAGCUAAUACCGGAUAACAAUGUUUGACAUAAGUUAAAUAUUUGAAAGCUUUAUGUGCUGAAGGAGGGGUCUGCGUCCCAUUAGCUAGUUGGUGAGGUAAAGGCUUACCAAGGCAACGAUGGGUAGCGGGUUUGAGAGGACGAUCCGUCACACUGGAACUGAGACACGGUCCAGACUCCUACGGGAGGCAGCAGUGGGGAAUAUUGCACAAUGGAGGAAACUCUGAUGCAGCAAUGUCGCGUGAGUGAAGAAGGCCCUUGGGUCGUAAAGCUCUUUUAUGGGGGAAGAUGAUGACGGUACCCCAGGAAUAAGCACCGGCUAACUACGUGCCAGCAGCCGCGGUAAUACGUAGGGUGCGAGCGUUGUUCGGAAUUACUGGGCGUAAAGGGCGCGCAGGCGGAAUAGCAAGUCGGAGGUGAAAGCCCGGGGCUCAACCCCGGAGGGUCUUUCGAAACUGCUAAUCUAGAGA
rnacentral:rRNA from 1 species